CAUUGAGAGGCUGAAGUAGCAAGCACAUGGACAUUAAGAGAAGAUGAUAUCCAGGCCAUAUGACACCCAGACCAUACUCUAUUUAUGUAGGAAUACAUUAACCAAGACCAUACGUGCAUUCAUGACAGCUGAACAUGCUGUGGUCAGCAGGGUGCAGGAAUAAAGAUGUAGGCAGGAUGACUGAUGGCUAACAUGUAAAACAUAGGCAUGCAGUAUAUACAUUAUUUUUAGAACAUGGAAAGAGUUCUGCCAUCGUUGUGACCAAAAGCAGAUACUAAGGGGGAGUGACUUUGUGUACAUAUGUGAUGUACACCAAUACUAUGUAUGUAUAAAAGCAGAGCCAGUGCUAAGAAGCGGCGGCUUUUCCGCGGACCAGCACGGCUUUAAUAACUUGCAUUAAAGUCUACAUUGAAUUCAACAGUUUCUUCUGAGAGUAUUAUAUUUCUAUAGACAGUAUUAUAUUUCUGUAACGAUUAUCUACGACAUAUUUGGCGAGCUUUUCCAGGAGAUCAAAGGGGCCUGGGACGUUCCAGGCUGGUGACAGUGUCUUUGGACAAAAUUACAAACGGGUGGCCACCCAGCUAUUUGAAAAGGUAAGCUUGGUCUUACAUAGUUGAUUGUUUGUAUAAAUUGGUUCAGAGAUACUGUCCCAGCAAGAGGGGCGUCAAGUAGGUCUCUAUUUAAAUUUCCUAAAAACCCAGUAAAUGCUAAGGGCUUGUUGAAUUCAAUGAACUGCAUGCAUGUGUGAUUUUGGGGGUUGUUAAAAGUGAAUUUAUGUAUGCAUGUGUAGUGACUAAUUGGGGGGCGGUGAUCCUUGCCGGUGCCGGGUGUUUAGCGGAGGGGGGGGCUUGCACCUGUUCUGGUCGGAUGACUGGUGCGGCUGUUCGCUCUCUCUGGCUGAACUGCCUGGCCUGGUGAGGGGCUGCUGCUGUCUACCCAUAUGGUCAAAAUAGAUCAAUAAGUAGGUAGAAAAGUCCACGAAUACCGCCCUUAAGGUGAAAAAGGGGUCUGCUUAGGUGGCAUUCAUGGUUACCGCCCCAAUAGAUUAGAAAGGGGGUCUGCUCGGAUGAAUAGAGUGCAGAAAAACGUUGACCCGAUUUGGCAAGGUUAAACUGCAAAACAAAUCCUGCGAGUAGAACGCUCCGUCUGUCUGAACGGAGGUCUCUAAAUGAGCAGGUCACGCCAUAAUACAGCUCUGAGAAAAAAUAUAUAUAAAAUAAAUAAAUAAAAACAACAGAGGUCUGCGUUGGAUGGGUGAAAAGGGUAGGAAGACACGCUGAUCCGAUUUGACAGUAGUAGUGUCAUACCCUGAGAAAACCUAUAGGAUAUAAACCGGUUUAAGAGGCCAUAGGUCGUUUUAGGUAAAACGGAGUGUGUGAAUGAACAAAUGUGAAUUCAACGUCUGAAUGGAAGUAAGAACGUGUGUGUGUGUGUGUGUGUGUGUGUGUGCCAACUGAUCAGGGAAAGGAAUGCGCAAGCCCCUCUGUGACAGUUGACUGAGUGUAAUUUCAGAAGGAGAGUGCAUUUAACUCACUGAGAGGGGGAUAGAAUCAAUGGAUAUUGGAAAAAUAAGGAUAAGAUAGAAACUACGUAAAGAUAGAUAUAUAUAUAUAUAUACACUGACAUAAUAAAUGUGUUAAUAACUAUUCUGGAAUGCAUAGAACUUGUUAAAAAGUAUUAAACAAGGCACAUAUAGUAUAACGGUCUGUGAAGUAGAGAGAAAGAACACACAGGUAAAGCACAAAUUAUACUAUAUGGUAAAAAUUCACCUAGACUGUCUCGAAGAAAUAGUAAAAACAAACACAUAAAGUAAGGGAUAUGGCCUAGGUAUAUACAUUACAGCACCGUGAAGGACGGUAGGAGGAAGCAGGGCUCUGCACCAGGAGAGCCUGCAGGAUAAUAAUAGCCUGAAGGAAAGGCAGAGGUGUCAGGUUACAGGAGCCAGAAGAGAGUGGGAUUGGAUAAGAUUAUCAAAAUAGUAUAAAUUAGGAAUAAAAACAAUAAGAAACAGUAGAAUAGAAUAUAAUAAGUAAGAACCAAUAAGUAAAAAGUGUAGAUAUUAUAAAUAAUUAAUUUAAAAGGAAAAGUAUCAGAUAGGAUUAAAAACACCUGGUAAAGUUAAGAGACAGAGUAGACAACUGAAAAAUGAAUAGAACACCAGUAGAGAUCUUAGGGGUGAGGCACCUCCCGAGAAAAAAAUAAAUAAAUAAAUAGUGGCAUGAAAACAAACAGACUGUUUCUCCCUGGAAUAUAGAGAGCCAAAUUUAAUAAAUCCACGGAGUCCCUGAAAGAAGAGCACGUUAAUUCUAACAAUUCGGCUUUAAUAUGAAAGAGCAAACUGGAUAAUGUAGGGCAACAUUACCCGGUAAACAGGAUAAAUAAAAUAAACAAUUAAGGGAGGCAAUUAUGAAUUGAAACGAUCACAUAAAACCAUAAUAACAAGCUCAAUUUAAUAAUAAUAAUAAUAUAUGCCAUUUAGCAGACGCUUUUGUCCAGAGCGACUUGCAGUCAUGUGUGCAUACAUUCUACGUGUGGGUGGUCCCGGGAAUCGAGCCCACUGCCCUGGCGUUACAAGCGCCAUGCUCUACCAACUGUGCUACAGAAGGGGUAAUUUACCAGCGUUUUGAUGUUAACAUUCUACCAUCAGAAAAUACAUUACGAUGGGGGACAGAUAUGAAUCUGCUUGCCCUCGCAGACGUGCGAGUGGUCAGCAGAGCUAGAGAAUAUCUCAGCGUAAGAAAUAGCUCCCUGUUUUAGAUGAGGAGCUAAUGGGUAUGGGAAGAAUGAGUGUGAGGUGACCCUGAAACUUAGUAGAGCAGAGAAUACAGCUACACAGGAGUUUGCAUCUUUUUAAAAAAGCAACAACUAAUCGUUUUUUAGUAAGAAUUACAUUUUCAUCAAGCGGUGUAUAAGUCUUUGAUCAAUCAAUAAGUGGUUCAUGGAAAUUACAGUUGAUAUGUGAUGAAAUACGUACUAGAUCACGUUUUACCUAACCUUAAGUAAUAUACCGAUGGGAUUUACUAACGGUCUCACUUGGAAUCAUGUUGCAUUGAAACAAUAGUUUCAGGGGUGAUAAAAUACGUGGUGGAUUUGUUAUUAGCGUCAAAAAACGGGGAAAUAAACGUAUAUGAAAAAUCACCACCUUGGUAAAAUUAGCUGGAGGAAAAGAAAAAUGUAACAUAUUUGGUGUUUUUCAAUUUCUAAGGAAAAAAAAAAAAAAAAAAAAAAACCUGGGAUCAGGAAGAAACUAUGCAUUCUGAGCAUGGCUAAACUAAUCUCGCAUGUUCAGAAAAACGUAAGGGGUUUUCAGUUUUGAUAGACAUUCUAUACCGUCAUUCUCUGAAACUGCUAAUACGCUUAUAUAAUUAAAUCAUUGUAUAAGUAAUACUAUUGGCUUGCUGAUUAAAAGGUAACAUUGUGAAUGCUAAUGAAAUGUACACUUUCUUUUCCAGAAAAGGGGGUUUCAUUUUCUCUGGUCAAAAUGCCCUUGGAGACUGCAAUACUGAGGAAAGCAGUUAGUAAUAGUCAGCCGCUUUAAAAGUAAACGUAUCUGGAUACGGCUAUAAAUGGAGUUCCGGAUAAGUAAGGCUAGUUCCCAUGUGUUCUUAACCUAUGGUUCACUCUAGUAGGUGCACACCUUAUACCGCGAACAAUAUGUGUUAGUGGAUUUAAUUUGAAAGGGGUCAUUUUCAAUUCAGUUUCAAAUUGGGUGAGCAGAAGGAUUGAAAUAUUUAUUUUUCUGAAAAUGUUUUAAAACGUUUCUUAAGAAAAAGGGAGUGUCAAAUGCCCUUGAACCCUAAGAAUUUCCCGUGAAGACUGAUCAACUUCACUGGAAAUUGUUGGAACAGGUGGGAUGUCAUUAUAAAAUGACUAAGAAACACCAGUCUCUACUCAAAGUGUACAAUUACUUUGAGACUCUAUUAUUUCCUUAGGAAAAUUAUGAAGGGAUGUAAUCUUAAAUUGACUAGUUACUCAAAUAGGUUAUUUUUAUUUAACAUGUGGUCAUAGGCAAAAUUAUCAGUUCCCAGGGGUUAUGGUCUUUGGGUAAAUACACACAUGUGCUUUGUUCAUUCUGCAUAUAGAAGGGAAGUAUAUGUUAACAGGGGAUGACAGUUACUCCAAAUGGUUUAUGAUAUAGGUACUGGGAUAAUUUCAUUUUGGGUUUCAACACAAAAUUUGCAACAUUGGAAUAUUGGAGUGUGGGUGUCUGCUAGGGUUAUGUUGAUAAUGACAUAAUCUGAAACUCGUCUGAGAGAUUGCCAGUAGAAUAAGGAAGUUAUCAUGGAAGGUGACGUCAGAAUGCUUUAAUGCAUGGGAGAGAUAUUUUUAUCACAACAAGUGUGUGAGAUGCUCAAACGCACCCUACUGGCUGAAAAGUGAGGGAUAACUGUGUCUGAUGGCCUGUGAACUAUAUCUGAAAUAGACAUGCUGGAAUGAUGUGUGUUGAAUUAAGAAGGUGGAAUUUGAGUUAAAGUAAGCAAUAGGGACUGUUAUUCUGAAUUUGGGUUGGACAAUUUAUACAACUUUUUAGUUAUGAUUUGGAUAUAGAACUGUUUAAAUUUACUAGGCCUAGGAAAGCUCUGGAAACUAAUCCUGAGACAGGGAGGUUGACAGAAUUGACAGAAUAUUAGAUUAAGGGUUUUGUUUAUUUUGUUUAUUAUGUCAUUAGAACUUUAAUGUUAAGUUGUAUUGAUAUAAUUAAUUGAAAAGGUUUAUAGUCUGUUUCGCGAUAACACCAAGGAUGGAGAAGAGACCAGGUUUAAUUACAUUAGGAGCAGUGGUAAUUUUUUGCAAUUAUGCAGUUAUCAUUUAUUUAUUUUUAUUUAUUUAUUUAAAAAAAAAAAAUAAAAAAAAAUAUAUCAAUCUCUUGGUUGGUCAAUUUAUUUUUGUUUUGAGGAACAUAAAUGUAUAUUGUUCCUAAGGAGGGAUAUAGAUAUAAAUUGACUAAAAUUGAGUUGAGAAUGUUUAAGGAAAUUAGGAGUAGUGACUUAUAUGAUAUGGGAACUGCAUUGGGGAUCUGAGGGGGAUCAUAAAUGAAGGUUAUGAUAGUGGAGGGGUGUUAUUUCUAGAAACUAUGUAUAUUAUUAGAGAAGAUACCUCACAGAAAAGGAAGGACAGCUGGCUGUGAAAAAUGUAGAAAUAUAAAAUAUAGAGACAAUUCUAAAAAGAAAAUGUAACAUUAUACAGAUUAUGGUAAAAGUAAUAAGUGGUGGAAUUCUGAACAUUAUAGCAAAAGUUUAAGAAACUUAUAACUGAGUUUUGUUAGGAUUGGAUAUUCUUCCAACUGGAAGACACUUGACUGAUUACAUGUUAUUCUUACAGCAGUUGCUGUAGGGACCAUAAUUCGGCUAUCAUUAUGUAUAACUAUAUCAAUGGCAGGAGGCAGGGUAUUUGAGACAGAAUGUUUACUACAGAUGGCUGUUAUUUAAAUAUUAGAAAUCCGUGAUCUUGCUAUAAGAAGAAAGUCUGUUGUCAGGAAAUAACCCAUGUGUUAGUGUGUAUGUCCUCAGAAAAAGAAAACAGCACUCAAGAGGCCAGAUGGAAGGGCAUGGGCUGAAUUCUGGAGACUGAGUGUACACAAAGAUACACCAGGCUGGAGGUAUACCAUACAGCACCUGCAAUGGUAAAGAUCGCUAUGGCUCUCUUCGGUGGGUGAAUAAUUCUCACAAAAAGUAAGGUCCAGCUGAAUAAUGGGUGAGCUUGAAAACACCAUGACAGAGGAACCAAAGAGAGAGAGAAAGACUAGAUUCCACUGUAAACAUACUGGGUUUGGUUUGGGAGCUACUUGUUUUAUUUGUUAAUGCAUCAUGAUGUGAAAAAGGAUAGAUGUUAGGGUACUCUAGACAACAUGUUGAAGUCAUUGAUGUGAAAGCAUAUACAGUGUUAAAUUACUUCAAAAAGAGAAAUUGUUGAUUAAGGAUAUGCAUAUGCUUAUCAGUUGAAAUGGAGCAGAUGGAAACAAAAUUUAAAAAUAAAUAAAUAAAAUAAAAAUGACAUGAUUUGGGAACACCUCUCAGAACCUGGGGCCGAAAGAGGAAGACUGGGUAAAAGCACGAGGAAGCUUAUUAGAGCUUUUAUUUUUGUGGAGUCCAGCAGAAAAGCAUCCUGGAGGCAUAGAGUCAGGUGAAGAGAGAGUGGGAAUUGUCAUGGUCUCAGAUUUUGGUAUUCGUGAAUAUAUUUAUGCAAAACACAUAACAUUGUCAAUACUGUUAUGUUUUGUACUUUGCUUUCCAAGUCGUAUGUUUAGGAACCUGAACCAGGACGAGAGGUUCCACGUCUGAUGAUCCAAGGGGACCAGAGGGGCCUUGUCCAGGUGAUACCAGGAGAUCUGGUCUACAUUUGAGUGUUCCGGAAAAAGUGGGAUCAGCCAAGGAGAAAAGGACCCAACGAAGUGGCCAGAGCAACAAGAACGACCGUCCAAGUGAAAGGAAGUCCGACGUGGUACCAUCUGAACCACUGCACCAGAGUCCCAUCAGAAACAAGGAGACAACCGCACAGCGAUAAGAACACAGAGGAUGCUGAUUCAGCAGGCGGGAGCCCGGAAGGAGCAGGAGCAGCAGAGGAGAUUGAGACGCCGGGGAGGAGCAAAGAAAUCAGCAGACCAAGUGGAAGCCAGGAUACGACAAAUGCACUGUCUGCUGCACACAGAAAAGGACGAAGAAGAGACAACACUGGAGAAAAAGCUUGCAAACAAUCAAUAUUCUCUACAGUGGGGCCAGAGAGUCCAGGGUUGGGGGAAAAUAACAGGCCUGCUACUCCUAAUGACAUACAUGUUGAGGCAGACCUCCCUGACAGAAGCCCUCCACAGUGGGACCCCGAAAUACCACCUACAGAAUGGGAACAACUCUUCCCUGAAAUCGAUGCCUAUCCAGAUGGAAGCCCAGUCCAGUCAAAGGAGGGAGCUCCAGGGGAAGGAACAGAAAGGGAGACCCCACAAGAAGGAGGAGAAGGAAGAGUCUCGCAGGCUGAAGAAGAGGAGGAUUUCCCCACAAUUGACUUUUCAAAUCUUGAAUGGUCCCCGUAACAGACAAUUGAAGAUAGAACAACAAAAGAAUAAUGACAUUGCCAUGACAAGAGCAACAGUAAACACUGAAACAGGAGAACAGAAGUCAAUCUCAAUCAAGAGGAUCAAACCUCUGCCUGAGACUACAUUCUGUGGAUGGACACAUCAUCAGACAAAGGGAGAAGUCAUCUGGGACCCGAAAGGAUGUGGCCUGACUGUAACCAAAAAAAGAAGAUGAGUGGUUGCUUACCUUGAAUAAGAUCGAACAUGUUGAAGGUGAAGAAUUUAUAGUUGAAAUAGCAAGAACAAGGUUAACUGAAGGAAGUAGUGUAACUGUUAUUAGAAUUGGUCCUACGCCAAUACCUGAACAGGAGGAGCCUGUGACAACCAGAACAAUGACAACAACAGUGGCAGCUGUUACAAAGACUACGGUAGUCACCACUAGGCUAAUGUCUACUGCUCCUACCAAGCAGUCCACUGUACCCACAAAGAAACCCGAAGCAUCAGGGUCAGGAGGUUUUUUACUGACAUUUGGAACUUUCUAGCAAACUCUAACAAUCUACCUCGAGAAAAGGACAUUGCGAUUCCAACUGAGACUGUAACUCCAACUGAUACUUUAACCCUAGAACUGCACAAGGACAAAUCAUUAAAGAUAUUAGUAAAAAAUGAAUGGUAUGAAUGGGCUCAAUAUACAGCAUUAAAAUUAAAAUUGACAAAUUGCUUAUUAUGUGCACCCUCUCCGCUGACAGAAUUAGUGGUGGUACCUAAUCCUUAUGAUUAUAGGGACUGUGCUGACUUUAAUAGGAACUUUUGUCAUUUGAGUAGAUCAGAAAGGCCGUAUUGUCCAGCUGAAUGUUUGUCAUAUUUGGGUAAUCCAUCCUAUCAAAGAUAUUACAAGCAAGCUGGCUGGGGAAAAUGGUGUCAAGAAUUGGAUAUACGGGUAGAACCACAAAAGUUAGAGGCCCCAUAUAAAUAUCAAAUAGAUUAUCAACAACCGUAUGAAUGUUUUAACAGCACGAAAAGACAGAAUGAGAUGGGAAAGUUUAAAGGUAAAUGUGGGAUCACAUGGCACUUAACUAAGGACACCAAUUAGAAUGCAGACACUCCAGUAAGGGCUAUUUAUCAAGCAGCUGGUAGUUGGGAGGGAAAAGUAUUUGUUCAUGACGAUUGUCAAAAUCAAACUCUAGCGCUACCAUUAAUUGCACCGUAUGAAGAACAGACUAUGGUAGUGGCAAAGGUUAAGGGCAACAUUACCAAGUGGAUGGACAGGCCUUUGUACAAGGGUUAGGUUGAUUCAACAGAUAAGUGUCACUGAAUGGGAUCCUGGUGAGUCUAAGCAAAAUACAAAAAAUAGAGUAAGGAGGGAAUAUAAAUCUGACCCCAAGGUCUAUUUAGAUGCAAUAGGACAACCUAGAGGAGUUCCUAAUGAGUACAAAGCAAGAGAUGAGAUUAAGUCAGGAUUUGAAUCAAUAUUCCUGUGGAUAACACCUAAUAAGAACUUAGAGUGGAUUAAUUAUAUUUACUAUAACCAGCAAAGAUUCAUUAAUUAUACUGACUCUGCAUUGACAGCUUUGGGAGAACAGGUAGAGGCAACCAGUAGAAUGACAUGGCAGAAUAGACAAGCUCUAAAUUGGCUCUUAGCAGAAAAAAGGAGGUGUUUGUGUCAUGUUUGGAGAUGAAUGUUGCACCUUUAUUCCCAAUAACACCGCACCUAAUGGAUCUUUCUUUAUUGCUAUGGCAAAACUUAAAGGAUUAAGAGCAGAAGUAAAGGCUAAUGCUGGGGUUGAUGCCCAUGUUUGGGAUUGGUUGGACCUGACUUUGGGAAAGUGGGGUGCUAUGGUUACUAGAAUGGCUAUCAUGCUGGGAGGGGGCUUACUGACACUGGGUAUUGUGUUUUGUUGUGUUUUGCCAUUGGUAAAAUCUUUAGUGGUUCAGACAACAGUCAAACAAAUGUCGGCACAAAAAGUUAAUCCGCCUGUGGUAAUUAAUCCUGUACCUGGAAUCCCUGGCCAUUAUACCAAUAAGUAUGGAAUGCCUUGCAAUGCUGUCGGAGGACCUCUAGACUGUUCCUUUGGUAAUCCUAAUUGUCUAUAUGGGGUUACUCCAGGGGGUGGUUAUGCUUGCCAUGGGUUGUGAAAAAUAUAAAUAAAAGAGCAUUUAGUCAUCA